AAACUGGAGAGUUUGAUCCUGGCUCAGAGCGAACGCUAGCGGCGGGCCUAACACAUGCAAGUCGAGCGGGGAACUUCGGUUCUUUAGCGGCGGACGGGUGAGUAACACGUAGGUAAUGUGUCCUCUGGUGGGGAAUAACCGUGGGAAACCAUGGCUAAUACCGCAUAUCGUGCUUCGGCAUGAAAGGCUCCGAGUGAAAUCGGAGGCGCCAGUUGAGCAGCCUGCGUCCCAUUAUUUAGUCCUAGUUGGUGGGGUAAUGGCCUACCAAGGGUACGAUGGGUAGCUGGUCUGAGAGGAUGAUCAGCCACACUGGAACUGAGACACGGUCCAGACUCCUACGGGAGGCAGCAGUGGGGAAUAUUGCGCAAUGGGCGAAAGCCUGACGCAGCCACGCCGCGUGAGUGAUGAAGGCCUUCGGGUUGUAAAGCUCUGUCGGGAGGGACGAAAGGAGCAAUCCUUGACGGUACCUCGCAAGAAAGCACCGGCUAACUCUGUGCCAGCAGCCGCGGUAAUACAGAGGGUGCAAGCGUUGCUCGGAUUUACUGGGCGUAAAGCGUACGCAGACGGUGAGAAAGGUCGGAUGUGAAAGCCCCGGGCUCAACCCGGGAACUGCAUCCGAAACCAUCUCGCUAGAGUAUGGGAGAGGGAAGCAGAAUUCCUGGUGUAGAGGUGAAAUUCGUAGAUAUCAGGAGGAAUACCUGCGGCGAAGGCGGCUUCCUGGCCCAUUACUGACGUUCAGGUACGAAAGCGUGGGUAGCAAACAGGAUUAGAUACCCUGGUAGUCCACGCCGUAAACGAUGUGUGCUGGAUGUCGGGGGUAUUCACCCCCUCGGUAUCGAAGCUAACGCGAUAAGCACACCGCCUGGGGAGUACGGCCGCAAGGUUGAAACUCAAAGGAAUUGACGGGGGCCCGCACAAGCGGUGGAGUAUGUGGUUUAAUUCGACGCAACGCGAAGAACCUUACCCAGCCUUGACAUCCCUGGAACCCGGUGGAAACACUGGGGUGUCCUCGCAAGAGGAAGCCAGGUGACAGGUGCUGCAUGGCUGUCGUCAGCUCGUGUCGUGAGAUGUUCGGUUAAGUCCGGCAACGAGCGCAACCCUUGCUUCCAGUUGCCAUCAUUAAGUUGGGAACUCUGGAGGGACUGCCGGCGCUAAGCCGGAGGAAGGUGGGGACGACGUCAAGUCAUCAUGGCCUUUAUGGCUGGGGCUACACACGUACUACAAUGGCGACUACAAAGGGCUGCGAAGCAGCGAUGUGAAGCAAAUCCCAAAAAAGUCGCCUCAGUUCGGAUUGGAGUCUGCAACUCGACUCCAUGAAGUUGGAAUCGCUAGUAAUCGCGGAUCAGAACGCCGCGGUGAAUACGUUCCCGGGCCUUGUACACACCGCCCGUCACACCACGAAAGUUGGAUGGACCUGAAGUUGUUGACCCAACCCGCAAGGGAGGGAGGCACCAACGGUCUGUUCGAUGAUUGGGGUGAAGUCGUAACAAGGUAGCCGUAGGGGAACCUGCGGCUGGAUCACCUCCUUU
rnacentral:rRNA from 1 species